rnacentral:rRNA from 1 species
UACGGGGGGAGCAAGCGUUGUUCGGAUUUACUGGGCGUAAAGGGCGGGUAGGCGGCCACUGCAAGUCGGUUGUGAAAUCUCCGGGCUUAACCCGGAAAGGUCAAUCGAUACUGCAGGGCUAGAGUGCAGAAGGGGCAACUGGAAUUCUCGGUGUAGCGGUGAAAUGCGUAGAUAAUCGAGAGGAACACCUGCGGCGAAGGCGGGUUGCUGGGCUGACACUGACGCUGGAACUGCGAAAGCUAGGGGAGCGAACGGG